GACGAACGCUGGCGGCGUGCUUAACACAUGCAAGUCGAACGAUGAAGCCGGAGCUUGCUCUGGUGAAUUAGUGGCGAACGGGUGAGUAACACGUGAGUAACCUGCCCUUGACUCUGGGAUAACUGCUAGAAAUGGUAGCUAAUACCGGAUACGACCCUCGGAGGCAUCUUCAGGGGGUGGAAAGAAUUUCGGUCAAGGAUGGACUCGCGGCCUAUCAGCUAGUUGGUGAGGUAACGGCUCACCAAGGCGACGACGGGUAGCCGGCCUGAGAGGGUGACCGGCCACACUGGGACUGAGACACGGCCCAGACUCCUACGGGAGGCAGCAGGGGGGAAUAUUGCAAAAUGGGCGCAAGCCUGAUGCAGCAACGCCGCGUGAGGGAUGACGGCCUUCGGGUUGUAAACCUCUUUUAGUAGGGAAGAAGCGAAAGUGACGGUACCUGCAGAAAAAGCACCGGCUAACUACGUGCCAGCAGCCGCCGUAA
rnacentral:rRNA from 1 species